UAGUAUUACAAACAGGAUGGUGCAGUAUUCUAGUCGGCCCUCCGUUCCUGAAGGCGGGCCUAAAAAUCCGCCAAAGGGCACAUCGAUGAAGUUCCUUGUGUUGGCUUGAGGCGCCCAGCCUUGGGUCGAUGCUGGGAGUUAAGGUUGCGGGGCGAUCCACAAUGGCAUGUGGGCGUUGACCCUGCUUCCGCGGAGGCCCAUAUUUGUAGGAGGCUGUUCUCAAACGUCUGCUAUGAAAUGGGGUAUGAACCUGUGAGAUUGUUUUGGGAAGAACGGUCCACAGCGUAGCCUGCCUUGAGUGGCUCUGAGGGGAUUAUGGCUUUUGAGCGAGAGAUAGAUGGCCACUAUUCGAUCGCUUACCCGACCAUAUGAAAUCAGCGCUGCAAAAGAGGCUAAGGAACGGCUAAAGGCUGCUGAGGAAAUCUCCUAGACUGUUCCAUGACACCUAAAAGGGAUUAUAGUGCGGACUAAGUGGCAAUCCAGUCUAGUAACCGGUGACGGUGCUAAGGCGAGUUUAAAGGGGAACCGCCGAUGUGGCAACACAUGGUAUUCGCUUGGGAAAACCUACUGGACCUAAGCCGCAGUUUUUAUCUUUUAGGUGACCAUCCUGACUUUCAUACAU
rnacentral:sRNA from 1 species